GCACUGCUGAAGAGUCCCACAACAGAACGGAACGACCGUCCAGUGC
rnacentral:hammerhead_ribozyme from 1 species